CACACUUCCCAGCCAUUGGUUAGGAUCAAGUGCAUCAUCUUUUCUUAUCACUUUAAUAUCUCAAACAUCCUCACCUUGAAGAUUUUAUAUUAGAUGGAUUUGGAGGGCACAGGAAGGAGCGUGUGUACUCUACAGGGUGAUGCAGCCAUUGCAGCUACACUCUUUGUGGAGAACUCAU
rnacentral:snRNA from 1 species